UACGGGGGGGGCAAGCGUUGUUCGGAUUUACUGGGCGUAAAGGGCGCGUAGGCGGCCACCGCAGGUCAGUUGUGAAAUCUCUGGGCUUAACCCAGAACGGUCAGCUGAUACUGCGGGGCUAGAGUGCAGAAGGGGCAACUGGAAUUCUCGGUGUAGCGGUGAAAUGCGUAGAUAUCGAGAGGAACACCUGCGGCGAAGGCGGGUUGCUGGGCUGACACUGACGCUGACAGCGCGAAAGCUAGGGGAGCGAACGGG
rnacentral:rRNA from 1 species